CACGUAGGGCGCAAGCGUUGUCCGGAAUUAUUGGGCGUAAAGAGCUCGUAGGCGGUCUGUUGCGUCCGCUGUGAAAACUCGGGGCUUAACCCCGAGCCUGCAGUGGAUACGGGCAGACUAGAGGUAGGUAGGGGAGAUUGGAAUUCCUGGUGUAGCGGUGAAAUGCGCAGAUAUCAGGAGGAACACCGGUGGCGAAGGCGGGUCUCUGGGCAGUAACUGACGCUGAGGAGCGAAAGCGUGGGGAGCGAACAGG
rnacentral:rRNA from 1 species